rnacentral:misc_RNA from 1 species
AACGUAGGACGCAAGCGUUAUCCGGAGUUACUGGGCGUAAAGCGCGGGCAGGCGGUCUGACAAGUCUGAUGUGAAAGCGCCCGGCUCAACCGGGCGAGGCCAUUGGAAACUACCAGACUGGAGUCGAGCAGAGGUAGGCGGAAUUCCGGGUGGAGUGGUGAAAUGCGUAGAGAUCCGGAGGAACACCAGAGGCGAAGGCGGCCUACUGGGCUCGCACUGACGCUGAGCCGCGAAAGCCAGGGGAGCGAACGGG